rnacentral:rRNA from 1 species
AUUGAACGCUGGCGGCAGGCCUAACACAUGCAAGUCGAACGAGUGGCGGACGGGUGAGUAAUGUCUGGGAAACUGCCCGAUGGAGGGGGAUAACUACUGGAAACGGUAGCUAAUACCGCAUACCAUCGGAUGUGCCCAGAUGGGAUUAGCUGGUCGGUGAGUGAACGGCUCACCUAGGCGACGAUCCCUAGCUGGGCUGCGAGGAUGACCAGCCACACAGGAACUGAGACACGGUCCAGACGCCUACGGGAGGCAGGAGUGGGGAAUAUGGCACAAUGGGCGCAAGCCUGAUGAAGCCAUGCCGCGUGUAUGAAGAAGGCCGUCGGGUUGUAAAGUACUUUCAGCGGGGAGGCGUUAACCGCAGAAGAAGCACCGGCUAACUCCGUGCCAGCAGCCGCGGUAAUAG